rnacentral:pre_miRNA from 1 species
AUAGUACUCCCUCCGUUCCAAAUUACUCGUCGCAGAAAUGGAUGUACCUAGAACUAAAAUACAUCUAGAUAUAUCCAUACCUGCGACAAGUAAUUCGGAACGGAGGGAGUAGUUG